GGUUAAGUGACUAAGCGUACACGGUGGAUGCCUUGGCAGUCAGAGGCGAUGAAGGACGUAGUAACUUGCGAUAAGCUCAGAUUAGGCAGUAACAGCCACUUGAGUCUGAGAUUUCCGAAUGGGGAAACCCAACUGCAUAAGCAGUUACUGUUAACUGAAUACAUAGGUUAACAGGGCGAACCGGGGGAACUGAAACAUCUAAGUACCCCGAGGAGAAGAAAUCAACCGAGAUUCCGAUAGUAGCGGCGAGCGAAAUUGGAUUAGCCCUUAAGCUUUACAUGCGUCAGGUGAAGGUUCUGGAAAGGACCGCGAAACAGGGUGAUAGCCCCGUAGCCGACAGCGUAUGUUCAGUGAAAUCGAGUAGGGCGGGACACGUGUUAUCCUGUCUGAAUAUGGGGGGACCAUCCUCCAAGGCUAAAUACUCCUGACUGACCGAUAGUGAACCAGUACCGUGAGGGAAAGGCGAAAAGAACCCCUGUGAGGGGAGUGAAAUAGAACCUGAAACCGUGUACGUACAAGCAGUAGGAGCCUCCUUUGUGGGGUGACUGCGUACCUUUUGUAUAAUGGGUCAGCGACUUAUAUUCAGUGGCAAGGUUAACCAUUUAGGGGAGCCGUAGGGAAACCGAGUCUUAACUGGGCGUUCAGUCUCUGGAUAUAGACCCGAAACCGGGUGAUCUAGCCAUGGGCAGGUUGAAGGUUGAGUAACAUCAACUGGAGGACCGAACCGACUAAUGUUGAAAAAUUAGCGGAUGACUUGUGGCUAGGGGUGAAAGGCCAAUCAAACUCGGAGAUAGCUGGUUCUCCCCGAAAGCUAUUUAGGUAGCGCCUCGGACGAAUACUACUGGGGGUAGAGCACUGUUAAGGCUAGGGGGUCAUCCCGACUUACCAACCCUUUGCAAACUCCGAAUACCAGUAAGUACUAUCCGGGAGACACACGGCGGGUGCUAACGUCCGUCGUGGAGAGGGAAACAACCCAGACCGCCAGCUAAGGUCCCAAAUUACAGCUAAGUGGGAAACGAUGUGGGAAGGCUCAGACAGCUAGGAUGUUGGCUUAGAAGCAGCCAUCAUUUAAAGAAAGCGUAAUAGCUCACUAGUCGAGUCGGCCUGCGCGGAAGAUGUAACGGGGCUAAGCAAUAUACCGAAGCUGCGGCAGCGUGCAUCACCAGAGCUUAUUUGAUUAACGUCGACGUGCGAAGCACCCGACGGUAAAGCGCCCCCAAACAGUCGAGUGCUGUGAGGGAGAGGUAAAAAUUAAGUAAGUUGUGGGAUGCACGCUGGGUAGGGGAGCGUUCUGUAAGCCGUUGAAGGUGGGUUGUGAAGCAUGCUGGAGGUAUCAGAAGUGCGAAUGCUGACAUGAGUAACGACAAGGGGGGUGAAAAACCUCCCCGCCGGAAGACCAAGGGUUCCUGUCCAACGUUAAUCGGGGCAGGGUAAGUCGACCCCUAAGGCGAGGCCGAAAGGCGUAGUCGAUGGGAAACGGGUUAAUAUUCCCGUACUUCUUACAAUUGCGAUGGGGGGACGGAGAAGGCUAGGUGGGCCUGGCGACGGUUGUCCAGGUUCAAGUGCGUAGGCUUGAGGGUUAGGUAAAUCCGGCUCUCUCUAAGGCUGAGACACGACGUCGAGCACCUACGGGUGUGAAGUCAUUGAUGCCAUGCUUCCAGGAAAAGCCUCUAAGCUUCAGAUUGUAAGGAAUCGUACCCCAAACCGACACAGGUGGUCGGGUAGAGAAUACCAAGGCGCUUGAGAGAACUCGGGUGAAGGAACUAGGCAAAAUGGUACCGUAACUUCGGGAGAAGGUACGCUCUUGAUGGUGAAGUCCCUCGCGGAUGGAGCUGAUGAGAGUCGCAGAUACCAGGUGGCUGCAACUGUUUAUUAAAAACACAGCACUGUGCAAAAUCGUAAGAUGACGUAUACGGUGUGACGCCUGCCCGGUGCCGGAAGGUUAAUUGAUGGGGUUAGCGUAAGCGAAGCUCUUGAUCGAAGCCCCGGUAAACGGCGGCCGUAACUAUAACG
rnacentral:rRNA from 1 species